AACCCAUGGUGAGAGUACCUUCUCAGAAGGUUCUUGUACCUCUCCCAUGCAUCGUAGAGUGUUUCUAAAUCCAUCUGCACAAAAGAAGAGAUAUCAUUACGUAAUUU
rfam:Gossypium hirsutum cultivar TM-1 unplaced genomic scaffold scaffold2543.1, whole genome shotgun sequence